rnacentral:rRNA from 1 species
CCGUGCGAAGGUAGCGCAAUCACUUGUCUUUUAAAUGGAGACCUGUAUGAAUGGCAAGACGAAGGCUUAACUGUCUCCUUUUCCAAGUCAAUGAAAUUGAUCUACCCGUGCAGAAGCGGGUAUAAUAACAUAAGACGAGAAGAACCCUAUGGAGCUUCAGACACUAAAGUAGAUCAUACCCUCUGUAAUUACACAAAAACAAUGCAAGCCUCAUGCUACCUCCCCUCAAUGUCUUUGGUUGGGGCGACCAUGGGGAAAACCAAAAAACCCCCCACAAUGGGAAGUGGGGCACACCAGGUUCCUUAUUAUCAAAGGAGCCAACCAGCUCUUAAUUUACAGUUAUUUUUGAACAAUAAAAGAAUCCGGCCAUGCCGGAUUAAUGAACCAAGGUUACCCUCAGGAUUACAAGCGGCAAUUCCCCUUUUAAGAAUUCAUUAUCGCACAAAGGGGUUUACAAACUCAUGUUUAUACAAGGACAAUCCUAAUGGUGCAAACGCGUAUUUAAGGGUUCGUGGUUACACSAUUAAAGUCCU